UCGAAAGUUUUAGCUGUUUUGCUUUUUUUUUGCCUUUGCGCCACUUGACGUGGAACACGCUUCAGGGCAUUGAGAAGCAAUUGCAAAGUGAUAUCAUACAUUCAAUUAUUUUUAUUAAAUCAUAGAGAAGUUCAAGCGAAGUGGGACCAAGAGGAAAAAAAUCAAUGAUCUUCGUCUUCACUUAACUGGCACGUCAAUCUGAAAAGGAAAAAGAAUCUUUUGGACAUAUUACCAUAAAAGCCAUUUGCACAUGGAAAAUCAAUUGAAACCAAUAAAUCUCACAUAAAGAUGGAGUAAAAGCCCAAUGAAAAUUGUAACACAAUGGCAGAGUGGAAAGAAAUGUAUGUGACUCUCUUUUUUUGGUCUACACACCAAUUGUACAUAAUUUUGUGAGACAGUCAAAGGGGAGAAGCGCGCGGAAUUGCGGGAAAAAUAUUUCUUCACGGUGGUUCAGCCAGAGAAAGUGGAGAUUUUCAUUCAGCAGCCAAAUACCAUCGAAUAAUAAUAACAAUAAUACAAAAUGGCAUUAUGCGGAAUGAGUGAGAGGAGCAUUGGGUAUACGAGAGAACAUGAAAGAAUUCAACCAAAUGAUGAAGCCACAAAGCCCAUAAAUGGACAAAGAUCGAAGUAAAUUUCCCAUUGAAAAUGGCAAAAGGAGACAUCAAAACAAGCAUCUCUUGAUCGCACCCAAAGUACCACCAAUGACACCACAUUUUAGGUGACAAUUAAAGCACAUUCAAGUCCCAUUUAAGCUGUAUGUGUUUGUGAAUAAUCCUCAUCAUGUGAAUAAAUCCACCCUGUUUGGUUUAACAAUUGGAAUAUAAUAAGAAAAUGAAGAUUUUAUCAUAUUAAAGAGUCAAAGAAGUCAAAGCUCCUUUGAACAUGUCUCUAAGCUUCACAUAAUCCAAUAAAAAGCCCCAAUAAAAUCACUCUCACUGCCUUUUUCCACCGUGUGAUCGCGUGUGAGGAAAACUUUUUACAAAAAUUUUGUCGUCAUAAAUUUUCACGACGAGACACUUUCCCGCGCCCCAAAUUUCACCAUAGGACGGCACGGUGCGAGAUCAUCUUCAUCGCAGCCAAUUAAUCUUUCUCUUCUUGUAUAUGAGCUGUCUUCUAAAAGGCAAAGACUGCAUAGCACAUCAACCUCUCACUCUCAUUUGGCGUCCCAUGGUCGUCGCGAUGGAAAGUCUCUCGACAAUAAACUAUUGAAAAUUAUUAGUGUAAUCAAAUUAAUAGUCUGGAAAAGGUUGCUCUUGAAUGCCUUUCGUUUGUAUGAUGGUGAUAGAGACAAAUUAAGCAUUAACCAUAAUACAAAAUACAGUGAUAUGCUGCUUUAAAAUAUUGUUUUCUUUGGGAAAAAGAUUAUUUUUUCAUUUACUUAUUGUUAUGUUAAUUUUUUGUGAUAAAUUGAAAGAAAUAUGUGAAUUUUUGUUGUUGAUUUAUGAGUUAAGUUAACGCCUAAAAGAUAUUGUCUGAAUUGUAAGAAUUUUUUUUUAGUAGGAUUCAAUAUAAAAAGUUUUAAAGAAAA